rnacentral:lncRNA from 1 species
AUGCUCAACCCUUCCUCAUAUCUGAGAGGGCACUCCCAACGAAGCCUCUCGAAAUACUCAACUUUCUUCCCCCCCAAUAAUACCUAUGCAAACCAGCCACACCAGAGCAAAAAUAUCUCAUAUCAUCAGGGUCAAAAGCAAGAGUAUCCCAUAUCAUGCUUUUUCCCUAUCUUUUCCUUUGCCUUUGUUCUUACCUGCAAGACAAUGAGAAAGAAAGCAAUCAGUCAGCACUUGGAAUCAAGCUUCCAGUCAGGAACUGACUGCCUGGAACCCCUUGCCUGAUUACUUACCUGGCAUUGCUUUCAAGUACUCAUCUUCAACAUCUUAUGCUUCCAGA